UACAGAGGUCUCAAGCGUUGUUCGGAUUCACUGGGCGUAAAGGGUGCGUAGGUGGUGAGGCAAGUCGGAUGUGAAAUCUCCAAGCUCAACUUGGAAGUGGCAUUGGAAACUACCUUGCUGGAGGUUUGGAGGGGGGACUGGAAUACUUGGUGUAGCAGUGAAAUGCGUAGAUAUCAAGUGGAACACCAGUGGCGAAGGCGAGUCCCUGGACAACACCUGACACUGAGGCACGAAAGCUAGGGGAGCAAACAGG
rnacentral:rRNA from 1 species